rnacentral:misc_RNA from 1 species
GUAGCAUCCGUUAACGGCAUUGCACCCCGAGCCACUCUUCCCCCCGCGAACAGAGAGCAAGACCGACUCGAAGGCAAGCGUCAUUCAAGGCAACCGAAAUUCGAGGGACACAAUGGGGCAUCAACCCAUGUUCACCGCAUGGACUGCAUCCGAGAGAACGGUAUAUGCCCGUGUGCCGCAGAAGUCAUGACAAUGCACAACUAAUACGGAGCACGUGCAUUACCUUGAAAUCCUCCGGCAACCCCGCAAAGGGAGCCCGAAUAGAAGGAUAAUUACGAGCCACACGAAUACCAUCUCUUUAACAGGUAGCCAGCACAGGAACCGCAAAUGAACACCAGAGCC